CUAUAGGUAGGACCUUGGGCCUUAGGAGGAAAUAAAAGCGCUGGUAGACUCAGACAUGUAAAAUUGGUUUGUAUUAGUUUUAAGUUGAAAUGUUAUAAAAGAUGACCUUCUGCAGAGUUUCUUGCGGCGUUUCUUCUCUUAGCAAUGGGUCCUUUCCGAAGCGCUGGUAGAUUUAAAACGACAUGUAAAAUUAUGAAUAAAUAAAGAAUGAAACUAA